rnacentral:rRNA from 1 species
UGCUGCAUGGCUGUCGUCAGCUCGUGCCGUUGAGGUGUUAGGUUAAGUCCUGCAACGAGCGCAACCCUUGUUGCUAGUUAUUUUUUCUAGCGAGACUGCCUCGAAAACGAGGAGGAAGGUAGGGAUGACGUCAAGUCAGCAUGGCCCUUACGCCCUGGGCGACACACACGCUACAAUGGGUGGUACAGUGGGUAGCAAAGGAGCGAUCUGGAGCUAAUCCCCAAAACCAUCCUCAGUACAGAUUGUAGGCUGAAACUCGCCUGCAUGAAGCCGGAGUUGCUAGUAAACGCGUAUCAGCAUGGCGCGUUGAAUACGUUCUCGGGCCUU